rnacentral:siRNA from 1 species
AAACAAUUAUUAAAUGCCAGUGG